rnacentral:rRNA from 1 species
AGCGGUAGCACAGAGAGCUUGCUCUCGGGUGACGAGCGGCGGACGGGUGAGUAAUGUCUGGGAAACUGCCUGAUGGAGGGGGAUAACUACUGGAAACGGUAGCUAAUACCGCAUAAUGUCGCAAGACCAAAGUGGGGGACCUUCGGGCCUCAUGCCAUCAGAUGUGCCCAGAUGGGAUUAGCUAGUAGGUGGGGUAACGGCUCACCUAGGCGACGAUCCCUAGCUGGUCUGAGAGGAUGACCAGCCACACUGGAACUGAGACACGGUCCAGACUCCUACGGGAGGCAGCAGUGGGGAAUAUUGCACAAUGGGCGCAAGCCUGAUGCAGCCAUGCCGCGUGUGUGAAGAAGGCCUUCGGGUUGUAAAGCACUUUCAGCGGGGAGGAAGGCGAUAAGGUUAAUAACCUUGUCGAUUGACGUUACCCGCAGAAGAAGCACCGGCUAACUCCGUGCCAGCAGCCGCGGUAAUACGGAGGGUGCAAGCGUUAAUCGGAAUUACUGGGCGUAAAGCGCACGCAGGCGGUCUGUCAAGUCGGAUGUGAAAUCCCCGGGCUCAACCUGGGAACUGCAUUCGAAACUGGCAGGCUAGAGUCUUGUAGAGGGGGGUAGAAUUCCAGGUGUAGCGGUGAAAUGCGUAGAGAUCUGGAGGAAUACCGGUGGCGAAGGCGGCCCCCUGGACAAAGACUGACGCUCAGGUGCGAAAGCGUGGGGAGCAAACAGGAUUAGAUACCCUGGUAGUCCACGCCGUAAACGAUGUCGAUUUGGAGGUUGUGCCCUUGAGGCGUGGCUUCCGGAGCUAUACGCGUUAAAUCGACCGCUGGGGAGUAC